rnacentral:rRNA from 1 species
UACGUAGGCAGCAAGCGUUGUUCGGAGUUACUGGGCGUAAAGGGUGUGUAGGCGGUUCUUUAAGUUUGCUGUGAAAUCGCUCGGCUCAACUGGGCGGGGUCAGCGGAUACGGCGUGACUGGAGCAAGCUAGGGGGCAAUGGAAUUCCCGGUGUAGUGGUGGAAUGCGUAGAUAUCGGGAGGAACACCAGUGGCGAAGGCGGUUGCCUGGAGCUUUGCUGACGCUGAGGCGCGAAAGCGUGGGGAGCGAUCCGG